rnacentral:rRNA from 1 species
CCUACGGGAGGCAGCAGUGGGGAAUAUUGCACAAUGGGCGAAAGCCUGAUGCAGCGACGCCGCGUGAGGGAUGACGGCCUUCGGGUUGUAAACCUCUUUCAGCAGGGAAGAAGCGCAAGUGACGGUACCUGCAGAAGAAGCACCGGCUAACUACGUGCCAGCAGCCGCGGUAAUACGUAGGGUGCGAGCGUUGUCCGGAAUUAUUGGGCGUAAAGAGCUCGUAGGCGGCUUGUCACGUCGGGUGUGAAAGCCCGGGGCUUAACCCCGGGUCUGCAUUCGAUACGGGCAGGCUUGAGUGUGGUAGGGGAGAUCGGAAUUCCUGGUGUAGCGGUGAAAUGCGCAGAUAUCAGGAGGAACACCGGUGGCGAAGGCGGAUCUCUGGGCCAUUACUGACGCUGAGGAGCGAAAGCGUGGGGAGCGAACAGGAUUAGAUACCCUGGUAGUCCACGCCGUAAACGUUGGGAACUAGGUGUUGGCGACAUUCCACGUCGUCGGUGCCGCNGCUACGACAUUAAGUUCCCGUCCGUCGGGUAGGUACGGCCGCCGACGGACGUAAACGUUAAACGUAAGUAGUAGCGNGNGAGAGCGACGACGACGACGACGGAGGAGG